UACGUAGGGUCCGAGCGUUGUCCGGAAUUACUGGGCGUAAAGAGCUCGUAGGUGGUUUGUCGCGUUGUUCGUGAAAACUCACAGCUCAACUGUGGGCGUGCGGGCGAUACGGGCAGACUAGAGUACUGCAGGGGAGACUGGAAUUCCUGGUGUAGCGGUGAAAUGCGCAGAUAUCAGGAGGAACACCGGUGGCGAAGGCGGAUCUCUGGGCCUUACCUGACGCUGAGGCGCGAAAGCUAGGGGAGCAAACAGG
rnacentral:rRNA from 1 species